GGGUUGUGAGGUUAAGCGACUAAGCGUACACGGUGGAUGCCCUGGCAGUCAGAGGCGAUGAAGGGCGUGCUAAUCUGCGAUAAGCGCCGGUAAGGUGAUAUGAACCGUUAUAACCGGCGAUACCCGAAUGGGGAAACCCAGUGUGAUUCGUCACACUAUCAUUACGUGAAUACAUAGCGUAAUGAAGCGAACCGGGGGAACUGAAACAUCUAAGUACCCCGAGGAAAAGAAAUCAACCGAGAUUCCCCCAGUAGCGGCGAGCGAACGGGGAGGAGCCCAGAGCCUGAAUCAGCAUGUGUGUUAGUGGAAGCGUCUGGAAAGGCGCGCGAUACAGGGUGACAGCCCCGUACACAAAAGCGCAUGUGUUGUGAGCUCGAUGAGUAGGGCGGGACACGUGGUAUCCUGUCUGAAUAUGGGGGGACCAUCCUCCAAGGCUAAAUACUCCUGACUGACCGAUAGUGAACCAGUACCGUGAGGGAAAGGCGAAAAGAACCCCGGCGAGGGGAGUGAAAAAGAACCUGAAACCGUGUACGUACAAGCAGUGGGAGCACCCUUCGGGGUGUGACUGCGUACCUUUUGUAUAAUGGGUCAGCGACUUAUAUUCUGUAGCAAGGUUAACCGAAUAGGGGAGCCGGAGGGAAACCGAGUCUUAAUUGGGCGUUAAGUUGCAGGGUAUAGACCCGAAACCCGGUGAUCUAGCCAUGGGCAGGUUGAAGGUUGGGUAACACUAACUGGAGGACCGAACCGACUAAUGUUGAAAAAUUAGCGGAUGACCUGUGGCUGGGGGUGAAAGGCCAAUCAAACCGGGAGAUAGCUGGUUCUCCCCGAAAGCUAUUUAGGUAGCGCCUCGUGAACUCAUCUCCGGGGGUAGAGCACUGUUUCGGCUAGGGGGCCAUCCCGGCUUACCAACCCGAUGCAAACUGCGAAUACCGGAGAAUGUUAUCACGGGAGACACACGGCGGGUGCUAACGUCCGUCGUGAAGAGGGAAACAACCCAGACCGCCAGCUAAGGUCCCAAAGUCAUAGUUAAGUGGGAAACGAUGUGGGAAGGCCCAGACAGCCAGGAUGUUGGCUUAGAAGCAGCCAUCAUUUAAAGAAAGCGUAAUAGCUCACUGGUCGAGUCGGCCUGCGCGGAAGAUGUAACGGGGCUAAACUAUGCACCGAAGCUGCGGCAGCGACACUAUGUGUUGUUGGGUAGGGGAGCGUUCUGUAAGCCUGUGAAGGUGUGUCGUGAGGC
rnacentral:rRNA from 1 species